ACGAACGCUGGCGGCGUGCUUAACACAUGCAAGUCGAACGGUGAAGCGCCUUCCUUUUUGGUGGGUGUGGAUGAGUGGCGAACGGGUGAGUAACACGUGAGUAACCUGCCCCCUUCUUCUGGAUAACCGCAUGAAAGUGUGGCUAAUACGGGAUAUUCUGGGUCUGUCGCAUGAUGGGUCUGGGAAAGAUAUUGUUUCGGUGGGGGAUGGGCUCGCGGCCUAUCAGCUUGUUGGUGGGGUGAUGGCCUACCAAGGCGGUGACGGGUAGCCGGCCUGAGAGGGUGGACGGUCACACUGGGACUGAGACACGGCCCAGACUCGUACGAGAGGCAGCAGUGGGGAAUAUUGCACAAUGGGCGCAAGCCUGAUGCAGCGACGCCGCGUGAGGGAUGGAGGCCUUCGGGUGGUGAACCUCUUUCGCCAGUGAAGCAGGCCUGCCUCGUUUGUGGGUGGGUUGACGGUAGCUGGAUAAGAAGCGCCGGCUAACUACGU
rnacentral:rRNA from 1 species